GACGAACGCUGGCGGCGUGCUUAACACAUGCAAGUCGAGCGGUAAGGCCCUUUCGGGGGUACACGAGCGGCGAACGGGUGAGUAACACGUGGGUGACCUGCCCUUAGCUCUGGGAUAAGCCUGGGAAACUGGGUCUAAUACCGGAUAUGACUCCAUGACGCAUGUUGUGGGGUGGAAAGCCUUGUGCGGCUAGGGAUGGGCCCGCGGCCUAUCAGCUUGUUGGUGGGGUGAUGGCCUACCAAGGCGACGACGGUAGCCGGCCUGAGAGGGCGACCGGCCACACUGGGACUGAGACACGGCCCAGACUCCUACGGGAGGCAGCAGUGGGGAAUCUUGCGCAAUGGGCGAAAGCCUGACGCAGCGACGCCGCGUGGGGAUGACGGCC
rnacentral:rRNA from 1 species